rnacentral:rRNA from 1 species
AUUGAACGCUGGCGGCAGGCCUAACACAUGCCAGUCGAGCGAGUGGCGGACGGGUGAGUAAUGUAUGGGGCCUGCCCGAUAGAGGGAUAUAACUACUGGUAACGGUGGCUAAUACCUCAUACUAUCGGAUAACCCAUAUGGGAUUAGCCGGUAGGUGGGGUAAAGGCGCACCUAGGCGACGAUCUCUAGCUGGUCUGAGAGGAGGAUGAGCCACACUGGGACUGAGAGACGGCGCAGACUCCUAGGGAGGCAGCAGUGGGGAAUAUGGCACAGUGGGCGCAAGCCUGAUGCAGCCAUGCCGAGGUUAUGAAGAGGGCCUUAGGGUUGUAGAGUACUUUCAGCGGGGAGGGGUGACCCGCAGAAGAAGCAACGGCUAACGCCGUGCCAGCAGCCGCGGUAAUAC